AAAAAACUGAGAAUACUAUAGCUGAUUAACUUACUGUUUAGUUCUCUUAAAAAUAUCUACCUUCUUAUCAUUAUAAUUCUGGAAUGAAAAUCAGGAGGACUGCCUAGUACUGCCAAUUCUGACAGUGAUCUGGCUGGAGUGCAGUGGUGCACACGCCUCACACUGUGACACAGCGGGAGAGCCCAGAGCGACAGCUGUUGGAAUGACUGCACUCUUCCUGCUCAAGUCUGACCUUUCCAAGCCUUUGUCCUAUGUCUGGAGACUUCUUGGAAGCUGGAGCACACAAAUAGCUACAGCAAACUUGAGGAAUGGGCAUGAAUAGACUGGCUUCGGGGAACCUGCCAGCUUGGCCGUGUGGCCAAGGUAAUAGGCAAGCCAAGGCAGAGCUAGAGCUCAGAGCUGGAGGGGAAAUUAAAGCAGCAAAUGUAGAAACAUUAAGCCUGAAGAGGCGACGACGUUGAAUUCUAAAAUGCAGGCCAAAGCUCAGACUGCAAGCUGUCUGGCUGCUCCGGGUGUGCCCAGAAGUCAAAGUCCAGCAGGGGCAAAGGUGGAGGUGUGGUCCUGCACGUGGGGUGUUGGGGGGAUGUGGAAGAGGAGGUGCUUUAAGAUCCAGAGAUUCCAGCUGCCCUGGUGCACCCUUGGAAGAAUAAAAGGCUAGGAACUGGACAAGUCAGGCUCGAGUCCAAGCUGCCUGAGGAAUCGGGGAAAGAAUGGAGCUCAGAGUGGGAGGUCAGGGCAGUAUUUAAAAAUCCAGGAUAGCAGCAAAGCUGGCGGUGGCCCCUGACUCUGGUAAGGGCAGCCUGCAGCACCAUGCCAAGGGGGGCCUGACUGAUCAUGCCCUGCAUUUGCAAACAAGGAUUAGUAGGGUAUGAGUAGGAUUCUGCUGGUGCCUGGGAAGGCAGUGCCAUCUACAACUUUACAAAGUUUUAACAAAGGCCUGAAGGACACAACCUUCCCCAAAGUCCUGACGUCGCUGUUUGCUGGCAACAAAUAGAGUCAAAAGAAGAGAGGCACAGAAUGUGCCAGGGGUGUGCUGCGUACAGCCCCGAUGACCACAAGGCCUUCUUGGGUCAAGUUCUGCCAUCUCUGGUUAAGAUGGGCUCACCCUCUAGGACCCUGAUUGAGUCCUCGGACCACCAAGAGUGCCCCACCAAGAGCCUCCCUCUUCUGGUGACUCGUGCCUGCUUCCCGUGGAGAGCUCCAGAAGGGAGGAAACUGUGAGGAGGUGGAGAACGUGGCAGGGAUCCUAACUUUCUUACUGAAGGAAGUUCUUCACAAGUACCCAUCUGCCUUCAGGGAAGAAAACAUAACUCAUUUUGGUCUUUCAAAUUCAGUUCUCAAAACCAAAUCCUGUUGUCAGCAAUCUGUGUCCCAACGCCUUCUUCAGCAACAGCAUUUUCCCUGUGGAAUUAGUUUCCAAUGUUCUUUCUUAAAUAAACCACUGAAGAUUAAAAGGAAUCCAGAUACCCACCAC
rnacentral:lncRNA from 1 species